AUGAAGCAGAUGAGAGAAGAGAGGGCCAACCGUCGUAUUUUGGGUAUGCUCUCGUUUACUGUUUGUACAUAUGGUACUGUCCUUGACUAUAAUAAAAUCUUCCAGUAUUCGAUUGUGCAUGAUGAACUUGUUCAACUCAUGGGUAGAGAGGUAUCAGACUUGGUGUUCGCAAAAAUGGCCCGGCGGUCAUCCUACUGGCAGGUCUGCAAGUUGUGUACAGGCCUGCUGUCAUCGAUCAACUCACUGUACUGGGUCAACAGGUACUUCUUUGAUGAACUUAACUUCUAUGUGGGUGUGCCAGUUUACUCAGAAGGAACCGCAGUCAAACCUGCAGAAAUAACCAAGAAUGCCAUGGAAGAGGCAAAAAGAAAUAAUAUUGAUGCGAUCAUAGUGGAUACUGCAGGAAGACUGCAGAUUGAUAAAACAAUGAUGAUUGAAUUGAAAGAAGUAAGGAAGGCAGUUAAUCCUACAAAGAUUUUGCUUGUUGUUGAUGCCAUGACUGGCCAGGAAGUUGCGGAGGAAAGGGAAAAGCCCGAGCUACUGGUUGAAUCACACAAGAGGAGGGUUAGGGUGGCCGAGCUUUUCCAAAUGCGCGCGAAGAUGAAUAAACUGAUGGGUAUGAUGCAAGGGCAAGAAGCAAUUGCAGGGAGGGGAGAUCUCAUGGACUCUCUUAAUGCCGAUGAGAAGAAAACUUAUAGCAGCCUGGAUUGUUAUCGUUCACGCACCUCCUGGCACCGCACGGCGGUGGAGACGGCGGAGCGAGCCGCCGCGGCAGAGGGAGCUGGAUGCGGUGGGUGGUGUCAGUAG
rnacentral:rRNA from 1 species